UAAUACGGAGGGUGCGAGCGUUAUUCGGAAUUACUGGGCGUAGAGGGCGCGCAGGCGGCUCCUUAAGUCAGGCGUGAAAGCCCGGGGCUAAACCCCGGAAGUGCGUCCGAAACUGGGGGGCUUGAGUACGGGAGAGGGAAGUGGAAUUCCUGGUGUAGAGGUGAAAUUCGUAGAUAUCAGGAGGAACAUCGGUGGCGAAGGCGACUUCCUGGACCGAUACUGACGCUGAGGCGCGAAAGCGUGGGUAGCAAACAGGAUUAGAGACCCUGGUAGUCCACGCUGUAAACGAUGAACACUAGGUGUAGCGGGUGUUGACUCCUGCUGUGCCGCAGCUAACGCAUUAAGUGUUCCGCCUGGGGACUACGGUCGCAAGGCUA
rnacentral:rRNA from 1 species